UGCUCUCAAAACUAAACAUGCAUACUCCUAAGCUUUUUUCUUUCUUUCUUUCCUUUUUUUUUCACUAGGAGAUAAAUAAAAAUAAUCAUCACAUUUUAACUCUGCUCAUUUGGGGUCAUCAGCUACGAAUACCAGUGGCUGAUGGCCUGGUAUUCAUAUCUCUGAACCUUCCAAGUGUUUCUAUGUGGGCACCCAAAAACUGCAUUACCUCUGCUCAGAAAAAUGAAUGGUGCUUCAGCUCCUCACAGAUGCUUCGUGAGGCUUGAUGAUCUUGCUUUGAGAUUCAAGAAGGGAAAGCACUGAAGUAAUGUAAUGCUGUGUUUUCUCACAUGCUUCUGAACACCUAGGACCAAAGAAGAAACACAAAGCAGGGCCAGAGGGGACUACUGUGGGAGGAUUCUAAAAUCUGGCUGCCUUCAAGCCCAGCAUUUCACUUUCAGCCUUCGACCUGCAGCGCAGAAAUGAAGUCAGCCUCACACUCUUCUGCCAAAACCGAGUCUGUUGAGAGCACCGAUUACAGUGAAAAACCUCAAACACUUGCAGAGGGAACCCUUUUGCUUUUUGAUACGCUGGAGCCAGGAAGUCACUAAGUGAGUACAGCCCUCUGAGUGCUGACACUCUGAAAAGCAAAAUCAGUCUUGUUUUUCAGAAUAGCACACUCAGGUCCACAGGCCAGGCUAACGGAAGGAGGGUUUUGCUAGACUGGCUCCAGGAGUUGCUGUUAGCCGUGCAUGUUGCCCACAUGCACAGCUGAGCACAUCCCUCUCCUGCCACAGCCCAGCCUGCCAUUGGAGGAGACAAACAGACACAGCCAUUAGAUGCAGUGGCUUUGCAUCACCUCAGGCCUGCACUUAUUGAAAAGUAACAAAUGAUGAUGAGAUCAUCAACUCACCCAUUAAUUAAAAAGGAGUGUUCCAAUGCUGGCAGUAACUUAAGUGGAUAUGGAAGACCAGCCUAGGACUAACUACAAGGAAGCCAGAAGCUGCAAAAGCAGGAAGCCCCAUUGAGCACAGCACUUCAGGAAGCACACACAGGGUACCAGCACAUCCACUGCCUCUGAGAAUGGCAACAGAUUGGUUUUAUGACUAUUCAUCUCUAAGACUUUGCUUACAUGAAGAUUCAGAUGGACAUAUAAUUUGUCUAUCUCUAACCUAAUAUUCUCCAGGGUGAUUGUUCAGCUCCUAAAAUAUUUAGAUGCACACACCCACACAUGGCCCAUUUUUUUUUCAAUAGGUUUGUAUAGUUGUGUCCCUCAUUUGCUUGUGCAGAUUCUGUCACUGAAUAUUCAGAUAAUAAAUGGACAUACAAAUACACAGAUACACAGAUACCAAACUCACUCUUUCCUCAUCUUUAAGUGAAAACAAGAGAAAUGUCAAAAGCAUUUUAUCACACCCCGAGUAGACAGCAGUCCAUGCUUUUUAAAAGGAAAGUGGGCACAGGAAGAGUAAAAAAUCCAGUUACCCCACCACUAGAUGCAUUAAGCCAAAAAUAAGUAGUUCUAAAAAUAUAUGUACUGAAGCUGUAAGUGGGAACUAUUCAUAGUGGACGGUCACAUUCUUGACCCCAGUCUGUGCUGGUUAUAAGAUAACUACAUGAAUUCCCAAGUCGCAUUGAAAAGUGCUGUACUGUACUGUAGAAACACUUGAAAUUUAAGUCAUGCUGACCAUAAAGGAGUACUUCAGAAUUUUAUUUAUUUGCUAAUGCAAAAACAAACAAACAAACAAACAAACAAACAAACAAAAACAACAAAAAAUCCUAUCAUGUUUCUUGAGGAUUAAGUUAGACUUUACCACGUUCUUACCAGACACCUUACAUAAACUUGCAUUACAGAUGAAAAUAAUGUCAUAAUCAAGGUGCACACAGGGUCUGUUUGUGCAUCUGCCAGAGCUGUGACUCAUGUUAAGCUACAGUGUGAACAUCUCACCACAGUUGUACCACCACAGGGGUACAAGUUAUUACCUGCGAGAGAUCUCCUGCCUUACAAUGUGCUAUUGCUCCCUCCAUAUACAAGAAGCAGGUUUUUCCAAAUUCCUUCCUGUAAUUUCACAGAUGUCAUCCUCAUGGAACUCCUGCUCAGAUGUUCACUUUCAUCUCUUCAUACUGACCACUUUCCAGUGGCACUCACAUCUCUCUCAGAGGAAUCCUCCCCCUCUCUUUGGCAUUUUAUUUCCCUCACACCUCAGCAGAAGUGAUAGAGCUGCACUGUUAUGUUUCAGAGCUGUUGAAGGAGGUUUUUCUCUGCUUCCCCUCGGAUUGAGCACCCUGUGUCUCCACCAGCCAUCUCUCCCCCAAAGUGCAAUAAGGCCUUGCUCAUGUCAGCCUGCUCCACACAGCCCCAGAGUGGAAGGAACUGUGAUUUGUUUCACACCAAGAAGGCAGCAAAUAGAGGAGGUCACAAGCUGAGCCUACUGUGCCAUGGUGUUUGUGAUGGGGCCUUUAGAUGAUGAUGUGGAUUUGGCUUUUAAAUAGAACCACCUCUCUCUAGCAAACCCCAAUGCAGGACACAGAGGAUAGGAGCAAUCUGGCAGACUUAAAAGGAACAAGAAUCCAUUGGGCUUUUGGUAGGGGUUGCUUACAGACUCAUCAUUUGUGGCCAUGCGGUAUUUCUAACUGUUGUCCCUGGAAAGUGAUUUCACCACGCCCAAAUAAAAACUGGCUGACAUCAUUUUAGACAGGAUUUUUAUCUGUCAGUAACUGUACUGAUUUGUUUGUCCGCUGAGGGAAUACGGUAGGAACUUUAACAUCUAGCUGGUGUGAAGACAGACAUUUGGAGCUCUCCUUGGAAGUAACUCCUGCUCCAGGCUCUCAACUCAGUUGGUUAAAUGGAGAUACUUGGAGCACUUUGAGAUACUUGAGACAGGUCCCAUCCUGUCUGGCCUCCAGCUCUGUGCUCCAGAGAGACAUGGGAUCCCUGUAGUUCCUGUGGCACAUCCAUCACUCCCCACCACGCAUCUCAUAUCCUCUGGGGCCAUCAGGCCAUGUCUGUAUGUGAGAGCUGAAUGAAGUCUUACAUUGCUGCUGAUUAUAAUGGGACAUUCAAUACCUACAUCACGCCUCCCUGAUUAAACUGGCAAGCUGGAUCUUCCCCAUCUUAGUGUACUUUCCCUUUUCUCUGAGACAUAAGAAAUAAUAGGCAAUUCAAUAAAAUUUCCUUCAAUAAUAUGGAUGAAUUUAGUCAGGGCAGCUAAUUUAACAAAUAUUUUUUUUGCACGCUUUUUCAUCAACACCUAAAAUGUUAUCAAUACUUCUUAAUUGCCAGCACUCCAUCUUCAUUUUUCUUUCUACAAAGAAGUUUGAAAAUAGUUCUGUAUUAUUCUUAUUUUGUAAGCAUUUAUUUCACAUCCCUUUUUAGAAAGAGGUCUGUUUCCUCUUUGGUACAGUAUUCAUUUUAUCUGGUGCCCCUUUGGCUAUCCUUAACUCAUUCUGUUUUCUUGCUGUUUUUGUAUUUUCCUGUGGACUUUAAUCGAGUCUGACAGGCAGUCUUUCUAAAGCACACAAGCAGUUUCUGUCUCCAUUUUGUUUUCUCUAUCAGAAGGAUUGCAGACAGAUAUGCUGCAAAUUAGGUUUCUUUUAGAGUUUUCCAACUUUCUUAUAAACUCAUAUUUGUUUGAUCAUUCAAGUACUCCAUUGCACCAUGGUCACUAGUUUUAUUAAUAGCUUUCCAAUUUGAUUCCACACCUCUUUCCUCCUGUAUUAAAGAUCUAAUUUAAAACCUCUGGUUAUCAGUGGUCGUCCCUAUACAGAUAUUUUUUGUUUUGGUUGUUUGAAUUUGACUCACUGUGAGUAACAGCAUCCAACUGCCCUAGUACUCUCACAUAUCUAAUUCCCUUCCAUUGGACAGAAAUAACUCAAGGCUGACAUCUUUGAAAGAAUUUCAGCUGCAUCAAACCCAAAAACACUAGGAACUCUACAACAGCUUUUCUGUAUAUAACUAUGUGAUACUGUUUAAAAAGGGUGCACUGGAGGUCAAGGAAGCAUGGAAGUUAGCUUUUAUUUGUAAUUGGGUCCUCUGAGAAUGCAGCCUGUCCUUUUAUGCUUUUCACAGCAUUGGGGUGAGAAAGAGAGAUAAGAAGAGGGAGGAAAGAGGGAGAGAGAAAAAGGAGGAGACAGGAAGGAAG